UGUGUUUUGUGUCAAGUGUUGUCGAGAUCUUUCUGUUAUGUUGCUCUACAAUUUUUCUGAUUUUUUAAUAGAAAAGUAAUUUUUCUGUACACUAUUUGAGUGCAUUCUGUUCCUUCAGGUCUGUUUAACCUCUUGAAAACGAGCAUCAUUAAUAAUACACACCAGACACCAGCACGUAAGGACCUCCCAAAAGAAGAAAUCUGAGUCACCCCUUGUAUAAUCCUGAUGUUUAGCUACCAUUCUGGUUUACGACAUUGAUCGUCUAUUAUCUAAUUAACAAUUUUGUACAACAAAUCAAUGCAUGGAUAUAGUUCCAGGGCAGUACAUUUAUCCUUUUGAUAAAUACCGUAUGAUCGAAAAAAAACGGCGUCCAGUUGGCUGGGAAAUGAACAUCAAUGACAUUUCCCAUAUAAA